UCAGCUUGUUGGUGAGGUAAUGGCUCACCAAGGCGUCGACGGGUAGCCGGCCUGAGAGGGUGACCGGCCACACUGGGACUGAGACACGGCCCAGACUCCUACGGGAGGCAGCAGUGGGGAAUAUUGCACAAUGGGCGAAAGCCUGAUGCAGCAACGCCGCGUGAGGGACGACGGCCUUCGGGUUGUAAACCUCUUUUAGCAGGGAAGAAGCGAAAGUGACGGUACCUGCAGAAAAAGCACCGGCUAACUACGUGCCAGCAGCCGCGGUAAUACGUAGGGUGCAAGCGUUAUCCGGAAUUAUUGGGCGUAAAGAGCUCGUAGGCGGUUUGUCGCGUCUGCUGUGAAAUCUGGGGGCUCAACCCCCAGCCUGCAGUGGGUACGGGCAGACUAGAGUGCGGUAGGGGAGAUUGGAAUUCCUGGUGUAGCGGUGGAAUGCGCAGAUAUCAGGAGGAACACCGAUGGCGAAGGCAGAUCUCUGGGCCGUAACUGACGCUGAGGAGCGAAAGGGUGGGGAGCAAACAGGCUUAGAUACCCUGGUAGUCCACCCCGUAAACGUUGGGAACUAGUUGUGGGGUCCAUUCCACGGAUUCCG
rnacentral:rRNA from 1 species